rnacentral:rRNA from 1 species
GAACGCUAGCGGCAGGCUUAACACAUGCAAGUCGAGGGGCGAUCGGGUGUAGCAAUACAUGCCGGCGAACCGGCGAAAGGGUGAGUAACGCGUGAGCAACAUGCCCGAUACUGGGGGAUAGUCAUUGGAAACGAUGCGUAAUACCCCGUAACACAUGGGACCGCAUGGUCUUAUGUUGAAAGAUUGAUUGGUAUCGGAUUGGCUCGCGUGCCAUUAGGUAGACGGCGGGGUAACGGCCCACCGUGCCGACGAUGGCUAGGGGUUCUGAGAGGAAGGUCCCCCACAUUGGAACUGAGGCACGGUCCAGACUCCUACGGGAGGCAGCAGUGAGGAAUAUUGGACAAUGGCCGGAAGGCUGAUCCAGCCAUGCCGCGUGCGGGAAGACGGCCCUAUGGGUUGUAAACCGCUUUUGCGGGGGAGCAAUAAGAGCAACGUGUUGCUCGAUGAGAGUACCCUGCGAAUAAGCAUCGGCUAACUCCGUGCC